CCGUGCUAGGUGGGGAGCUAGCGGUUCCCUGUACCCGCAAUCCGCUACAGCGGGACUGAAUCCCCGCCCGAGGCCCGGGGCGUGAGGGCCCGGUCCGCGGCGGUCCGACGACGAGGGUCGGGUCCUGCGCAACGGGAUCUGACGAACCCCGCCAGGCCCGGGAGGGAGCAACGGUAAGUCAGUCCUCCCGUGUGCCGCAGGGGCACCUGACCGGAGCCGGUCCCGCGGCGCCCGCCUCGUGUCCUGGGGUCGACGGUGGGUGCACGG
rnacentral:SRP_RNA from 1 species